rnacentral:lncRNA from 1 species
GCCAAUCUUUAGAUGUCAAUAAAACAAUUCCGGGUUCUAUCAACAAUUCCGUCUUCGACCUUUUAUUUUGAACCAAGACAAUAACGACUUGAUUUUUAGUGAUGUCAAAAAAUACGGUUUCAAAAUUUUCUAUCCGUAAAUCAAGCCUAUAAAGGUAAAAAUGAAAUAUUAACAAAAUUGACAUGAAAAUUGUAAUAACCAAUAUUUGCCCGACCCGUUGCACAAAUAAAAUAACAGUCCAAAUACAUAGGCCCAAGUGGCCCAACUAAAUUUAACCCCACUUUGCCUAGACCCUGGCCCAAUCACGAGGCAGCCCAACAAGAAAAAUCAGAAACAGAAAACUCCUAUGGUUUCCAGAAAUUCCCAGCGCCGCAGCAACCGUACCACGCCUCCACGCGCUGCGCCACAUCCACAGCUCGUACAGCCUCCGUACCUGUAAAACAAACAACAGCACUAGACAGAAAGAAGAGGAGAGAAGAGCAUUUUGUAUUUUUUUAUAAAUCCCGAACAAGGGCAUGUAUUUUUGGGGGACAUAUCUUAGAAUAUCGGAAAUAAGAACAACAGAGGUUGAUUUUUUUCGAUUUUUACUCGUCGUUUUUUAUUAUUUUAUUUUAUUUUUAUUUUGUUUUACGAAUUUGUUAAAUAAAAAGAAAACAAUAAAGGAGAGGGAGAGGAGAGACUUACCCAGAAUUGCCCUACUGAUACCCUCGCCGGAAGCCCUUUAUGGCCGCGGAGAUCGGACCGAGGGAGGGCACGGGUUUCUCUUUUCCUUCAAACUUCGGGCCUGAAGGAUUCGGCCUUGGAACAGGGCUCAAAGGGGAGGCUCAAAAUAGCCCCUUUCGUGCGAUGCUGGUCGCUAGACGCGGCAGUUCCACGGCGAAGCCACGGUGGCAACCAUGGCCGAAAGCCUAAGCUUAUUGUGGGAAAGGAGGCUGAGAGAGAGGGAGACCCCUGUCUCCCUCUCUGUUUUUU